GGAGAGUUCGCAUAAUGGUAUUGCAGCGGAUUGCUAAUCCGCCGGGACAUACCUGUCCUGUGCCAGUUCGAAUCUGGUGCUCUCCG
rnacentral:tRNA from 1 species